CGGGGGGGGGUGUGUGUCUCUCAGCCCAGAUUGCAAGAGGGCGCAGGCCAGGCUGAGGGACCCGACCGGUGCAUG
rnacentral:pre_miRNA from 1 species